ensembl:lncRNA
UCAUGUGAUGAAAGAGUUUUAUUUGACCAUUGUGCUGCAGGUCAGGGUAAGACUAACCUAGACUAACAAAUCCAAACUCUGUUACCUCCAGGUUUUCACAGACUAGUACAACUAGUUCACACACUAGUUCAACUAGUUAAGUGCAAUUCCAGCUCUGCAAGGCACAAACUAGCAGUACAAGGAUUGUCUCUCCUCAUCAACCAUACAAAAUGAAUUAUGAAACACACGCAUAAAAAAUGCAGUCAAUGUAAAAAUGAGCUCAAGUAUCACGAGUCCAACUGGUACGUUUAACCCUUCAGUGUCCGGGAUCGCAGAGAAACCGAUGUAACAAAACCAGUACCAGUAACCAGUAACAAUAUGUACAUUAAUAUGGAGCAGUAGAAAUACAGCAGAACGUCCUGCCGAGAAUCACAUUUAAACUUCAUCUUCACAGCGCAACACUUUCCAUGAUUAAUAACUUCAAUAGUAACGAAACAACGUCUUCAAUUGAAUCCAAAAGAUUAAUCAUUUCAUUGCUUUGUCACACAUAAAAGUAAAAAAAACUCUCAGCCCUCAAAGCCAAAGACAUAAAUAAAGAAGACCACACAUUACCUUGUCACCUUGUGUACAACCUAGUGAACACAACAUGGUCUUCAGCAUUGUACCGUACAGUACUCAUCACUUAUACUGUACAGCAGACCUCAGAGUUGACCUCUCUGUGAUAGAUCUAGAAGACGUACAGAGAUAUAGAAUAUAGAACAUUUCCUAUCCCAGUGAUAUUGUGAACAGUAACACUAAACAAAAGUUGUGUUUGUUAACGACUUGAAGUCAACGGUUAAACCGCCAGCAGCAAUAGCAGCUAGAUAUUGAUGUAGAUAUUAAUAAAGACUGAUUGUUUUAUCUGUGGCAUCACUCAAACUGCAGUGGAGCCACUCUCUCUUUCUACUGUGUGUCAGUCAAACACAUCCAACACAUACUCCACCUCAACGACAUGCAAAUAAAACACCUUGCCCUGCCCCCAGGCCCCACCCAAGGCCCUGCCCAAGGCCCUGCCCAAGGCCCUGCCCAAGGCCCUGCCCCCAGGCGCUCCGUCACUUGCUUCCUACAUGAUUGGCGGCAGACUACGGUAGGCGUCUCUGGCUCCGCCCACUCCCUGUUGAGAAUGGAUGGUGAUGUGCACGGGCCUCUCCCCUCCUCCUUCUUGCUCCUUGGUUCCCGUGGAGACCCUUGCUCCGCCCUCGCCGACGUCCUCGACCGACGCCCCCAGAGGUCGGAGCCGCUCACUGGACGGCAGCGUGCCCCGCGACCCUGAGCUGUCCCGCUGGCUAGCGCUGGUGCUAUCUGUGCUAACCCUGUCCGCUAAAAGAGAGAACAGCCAUGUUAGCACAACAUGCUACAUCACUCUACUACUGGAACUAACAUGUAGCGUAUAAAAGGUUACAUCAUGUUGUCCUUAAGGUUACGUCAUGUUUCCCUUAAGAUUACAUCAUAGCUUUAAGGAGAAAUCAUAGCUUUAAGGUGACCUCAUGUCUUUAGGGUGACCUCAUGGCUUUAAGGUUACAUCAUAGCUUUAAGGUGAAGUCAUGUUGUCUUUAGGGUGACCUCAUAGCUUCAAGGUGACCUCAUAGCUUUAAGGUGAAUCAGUAAGGUGAAGUCAUGGUCUCUCUGAAUCAGUAAGGUGAAGUCAUCAGCUUUAAGGUCAAUCAAACAUUAAUAAGUGCAGUGUGGAGCGAUCAGGUGUAUU